rnacentral:rRNA from 1 species
UACAGAGGGUGCAAGCGUUGUUCGGAAUUACUGGGCGUAAAGCGCGUGUAGGCGGCUUAUUAAGUCGGACGUGAAAUCCCUUGGCUCAACCAAGGAACUGCGUCCGAUACUAUUAGGCUUGAGUGUCGGAGGGGGUGGCGGAAUUCCUGGUGUAGAGGUGAAAUUCGUAGAUAUCAGGAGGAACACCUGUGGCGAAGGCGGCCACCUGGAAGACAACUGACGCUGAGACGCGAAAGCGUGGGGAGCAAACAGGAUUAGAAACCCUAGUAGU